UACAGAGGGUGCGAGCGUUGUUCGGAAUUAUUGGGCGUAAAGGGCGCGUAGGCGGUGCGGUAAGUCACCUGUGAAAUCUCUGGGCUCAACUCAGAGUCUGCAGGCGAAACUGCCGUGCUGGAGUAUGGGAGAGGUGCGUGGAAUUCCCGGUGUAGCAGUGAAAUGCGUAGAUAUCGAGAGGAACACCUGCGGCGAAGGCGGGUUGCUGGGCUGACACUGACGCUGAGGCGCGAAAGCUAGGGGAGCGAACGGG
rnacentral:rRNA from 1 species